UACGUAGGGUGCUAGCGUUGUCCGGAUUUAUUGGGCGUAAAGAGCUCGUAGGCGGUUCGUCGCGUCGGCUGUGAAAACCCGGAGCUCAACUCCGGGCCUGCAGUCGAUACGGGCGGACUAGAGCUCGGCAGGGGAGACUGGAAUUCCUGGUGUAGCGGUGAAAUGCGCAGAUAUCAGGAGGAACACCGGUGGCGAAGGCGGGUCUCUGGGCCGAUACUGACGCUGAGGAGCGAAAGCGUGGGGAGCGAACAGG
rnacentral:rRNA from 1 species